GACGAACGCUGGCGGCGUGCUUAACACAUGCAAGUCGAACGGAAAGGCCCUGCUUUUGUGGGGUGCUCGAGUGGCGAACGGGUGAGUAACACGUGAGUAACCUGCCCUUGACUUUGGGAUAACUUCAGGAAACUGGGGCUAAUACCGGAUAGGAGCUCCUGCUGCAUGGUGGGGGUUGGAAAGUUUCGGCGGUUGGGGAUGGACUCGCGGCUUAUCAGCUUGUUGGUGGGGUAGUGGCUUACCAAGGCUUUGACGGGUAGCCGGCAUGGGAGGGUGACCGGCCACAUUGGGACUGAGAGACGGCCCAGACGCCUACGGGAGGCAGCAGUGGGGAAUAUUGCACAAUGGGCGGAAGCCUGAUGCAGAAGCGCCGCGUGCGGGAUGACGGCCUUCGGGUUGUAAACCGCUUUCGCCUGUGACGAAGCGUGAGUGACGGUAAUGGGUAAAGAAGCACCGGCUAACUACGUG
rnacentral:rRNA from 1 species